rnacentral:rRNA from 1 species
CCUACGGGAGGCAGCAGUAGGGAAUCUUCCGCAAUGGGCGAAAGACUGAUGCAGCAACGCCGCGUGAACGAGACGGCCUUCGGGGUGGAAAGUUCUGGCAGUGGGGACGAAAAAUGACAGUACCCACAGAGGAAGCACCGGCCAACUCCGUGCCAGCAGCUUCGGUAAUACGGAGGGUGAAGGCGUUGUCCGGAAUGAUUGGGCGUAAAGAGUUCGUAGGCGGCAUGUAAUGUCAGGUGUUAAAGGCGCAGGCUCAACCUGUGAAUGGCACUUGAUACUUGCAAGCUGGAAGGCAGUAGAGGUGAAGGGAAUUCCUGGUGUAGCGGUGAAAUGCUUAGAUAUCAGGAGGAACAUCGGUGGCGUAAGCGCUUUACUGGGCCGUAAUUGACGCUGAGGAACGAAAGCCAGGGUAGCAAAUGGGAUUAGAUACCCUUGUAGUC